rnacentral:rRNA from 1 species
UACGGAGGGGGCUAGCGUUGUUCGGAAUUACUGGGCGUAAAGCGCGCGUAGGCGGCUUUGUAAGUUAGAGGUGAAAGCCCGGAGCUUAACUCCGGAACUGCCUUUAAGACUGCAUCGCUAGAAUCGUGGAGAGGUGAGUGGAAUUCCGAGUGUAGAGGUGAAAAUUCGUAGAUAUUCGGAAGAACACCAGUGGCGAAGGACGA